rnacentral:lncRNA from 1 species
AAGGAUUUCUGGGAAGACAUGGAAGAACUCAUUGGGGCAGGUGUUGAGUGGGGAUAAGGAGAAGGGCAGCUUGUGAUCAGAUUACAGUUCUGAAUUUGCUGUUAUAGCUAAGUGAAAAUGUCUUUUUCUCUCUGGAAAUGUCUGGCUGUGUAGCCAUCUCUCUCUUUUGCUGAAAAGCAAGGAGCUGACAGGAUGGAGUGCAUCUAAGUUGAGAGUGUGGGCUGAUGACCAGCAUUAAGGCACUGACAUCUUCAGCUAACCAAGUACAGGAACAGGAGGCGUGUUCCAGCACAGCUGCAGGCUGAAACUGUUUCCUCAGUCUGGCAAGUUCUCUUGUGUGUCGCCCUCCUGAUGGGAACUGUUUGUUAGAGCUUUCAUUUGCAAAUCUCUAACUUAUGUCAUGGAUCUUAGGGUUGUCCUGUACAGUCUGUCAACAGCAACAUCAGGUACAGCCUUGUUCCUGACAAGGAGGUAUGAUUUAGUGGAGAAGCUGAGCGGCUUCUCAUCUCCACUUUAAUUCUGUCUGAGUUGAGUAUGAAUGUGCCUGGUCGCUGAACACCACCCUAUUCCUCAGCUGAGUCCAGCUCAGACUUCAACUCUGUGUCAGUAUGGGAUUAGCUACAGCAAUGACUAAAGGGGUGCUGAAGUACAGCUCUUCCUGGAUCUUCUUUUGGCUUUUUGCUGCUAGAACAAUAUAGCAGAAGAGCAUCUUGGGACAGUCGGAGAAUCUUGGUCAGAACUACUAAGAAUAGAAGAAAACCCUAGAAGAUUAGAGUAUUGAAGAAAAGACCAGUUUUCAAAAGCAAGUGCUGACUCACCCCUCCCAGAACCUAAAGUUCAGUCAUUCUCCACAGAAGCAGCAUUAUUUUCAUGGCUGGUGAGUGGGCACAAAAUGCACAACUAUAGCAUUGUUGGAGGAAGAAUCCACAGUUCAGUAAACUAGAUGCACUCCUUAGCAGCCAGUGCUAUGCAGCACCCUUUUAACACGUGAGAGACUUAGCUCUGCUUGGCCUGUGGCUAGCCUCCUUGGCUCAGUCCUCUGCAAGAGAUAUCACCCUUCUCCAGUGCCUGUUUCCCUCUCUGCAAGACGAGUUAUUCAACCCUCUCAGCUUGUAGCUUCCUCUCACAAUCUGUUUUUAAUGCAGCCAGAUGGUCUGCACUCACCCACACUCUACGUAGGCACCUUCAGCUCCCUGCACUUGGAUAGCACGCUCAUCUGACCUGCCGGUGGUCAGGUCUGCCAUCUGCCCUGGGGAGAGUGGUAAAUGUUAACAUUCUUGGGAGGAAGGCAGAGGCGAGGCAGCCUGGGUAUGAUGGACGUCUUCAGAAAGGCACUGAGAAGUCAGUUGGGCAGCCCAGCUUGUGUGAGAGGGGAGGCUCUCUGGCCAGAUUGCUAUGGGCUCUCUGCACAGACUAUCCCUGAAACUAAAGCUGCUUGAGCCUAGGAAACUGGCCUAUCCCGCACUGUUUAAUCAGUGGUGCUUAGCUCUGGUCCAUGUUCCUUAGACAUGGACUUCGGUCUAGUGCCAUUCAGUCAGCUUCUGUCACAUUCACACUGAAAGCUUGGUUGCUCUCAUUUCAGCUUUGGGUUUAUUGAAAACAUUCAGUGCGUAUACAGGAUUAAAAAAUUAUCCAGUACAAUGGGUAACAGUGAAUUGCCCUGAUAUUUUCUGUAUUGCCAAGUUAUUUUGGAGACAACUUCACCUAUCUUGUGGGGGGGGGGGGGGGGGGAAGCAAUUCCAGAUUCCUCCCUUAUUCCUCCCUUAUGCUACUGCUGAGACAAGACAUACCAUACCUUCACUGCAUCACUGUAACUGCAGUAUGCUGCAGGUUAAGGUUAGAGUUAUGAGAAACCUUCCUUUUGAUAAUGUCAGUUUUAGCUUAUGUAAAAACAGUCUGCAUUUUUCUUGUUUGAGGUAUGGGUCAAACGAAAGGGCCUAGACAGACUUGCACAAUGAAUGUUUAAAUAUUACAGUGAACCAGCCUGGAAAAUGUUUACGUGAUAGACAUGAAGCAAAAGGACACAAUAGAAGGGAGGGAUGCCAUCCAGAGAGACCUAGACAUGCUCGAGAAGUGGGCACAUGAGAAUCUAGGGAGGUUUAACAAGGCCAAGUGCAAGGUUUUGCACUUAGAGGGAGGUAAUCCCAUAUACAGGUACAGACUAGGAGAAGAACUCAUUAAGAGCAGCCCUGUGAAGAAGGGCUUGGGUGUCCUGAUGGACAAAAAGCUGGACAUGAGCCAGCAGUGUGUGCUUGCAGCCCAGAAGGCCAAUGGAAUCCUGGGCUGCAUCAUAAGAGGAAUGGCCAGUAGAGAGAGAGGGAGGGGAUUGUUCCCCUCUAUUGUGAGCUCAUGAGGCCCCAUCUGCAGUACUGCGUCCAAGCCUGGGGCCCCCAGUGUAAGAAGGAUAUGGAGCUGUUGGAGCAGGUCCUGAGGAGGACCAUGAAGAUAAUCAAAUGGCUGGAGCACCUCUCCUAUGAAAAAAGGUUGAAGGAGUUGGGCUUGUUUAGCUUGGCGUAGAGGAGGCUCUGGGGAGACCUCAUUGUGGUCUUCCAGUACUUAAAGGGUGCUUAGAAGCAGGAGGGAGACUGACUCUUUACACGGUCUGAUAGUGACAGGACAAGGGGUAAUGGCUUUAAACUAAAAGAGGGUAGAUUUAUGUUAGAUGCUAGGAAGAAUUUUUUUACUUAGAGGGUGAGGAAGUAUUGGCACAGGCUGCCCAGAGAGGUUGUGGAUGCCCCAUCUCUGGAGGCAUUCAAAGCCAGGUUGGCUAGGAUCCUGAGCAGCCGGAUCUGGUGGCUGGCAGGGGUUUGGAACUAGAUGAUCUUUAAGAUCUCUUCUAACCUAAGCCAUUCUACAAUAAGAGGUUCAUAAACCUGGAAUAACCAUUUGUCACUAAAAUCAAAGCACCAUGCCUCUGAACUGGACAGCACUACAAACUAGUCAGUGUAAGAGUCCAAGUGUAAGAGUCCAAGACUACCCAUAUGUGAUGCUGUGACCUGGUCUGUUAGUAAAUAGGAUUUGAAUAAACAGCUCUCUCUUCUCCUCCUUCCAUCCAAACUUUCCUGGCACAAUUAGCUAAAAUCUGUUCUUUUUGUGGCCAAGUUCACAGCAGUAGUUAGCAGGGAUCAGCUGACAGUCAAGUCUGUUCGCUCUCUGGUCAAUUUGUCAUUCUGUGGAGUACUGGCAACAGAAAAGCACCAGGUUUCUGCUUAAUAGGUACAUCUCAGUUCUGUGCUUCCUGCGAUGGGGGUGGAUUAGUGUCAGGACUGCAGCUUUUGUGUGCAGAAAUGGUCUCGACCUGAAAUGCUGUGGUUACCUAGGCUGUACUGCUAUCAGCCCAUAAAUCCCUAUGGAGACUUCAUGCUGGGAGGAAGUCAUGGGGAAGAACUCUCCCUCAAGUCCAAAGUAAAAUCGUCAAACUAGGUUCCAUAUACACCUGGUUUGUUCUGACCAGCAGUAGCCCCAGGGAACUUGCUUUGGCUGUAAGACUACCAUUUGCACUGAACAGAGCUUCAUCAUGAAUUUGUUUCAUCUGGAAGAAAGAUAACACUGAACAGAAUCGGACCUUUUGUCUGUUUUCCCAGUCUUCUUUCAGUUUCUUCUGUCAUGUUUGAAAGUCAGGAAGAAUUUCGGCUACUCUCCUUCGUAGCUGGUUCCUCCUUUCCUCUCUCUCUCUUUCCUUUUUCAUCAGUAGUGGGUACUGCCUCCAAGCCUUGAAUGCAUCAAGCAUGAGUCUCCUGAAAGAAAUCAGGGAUGUAAAGAACAGAGUCCCUAGAUGUGUGCUUAGUGCACCAGAUAAAAGAUGACUUCUAUUUGAGGGGAAUUUCCCCUCAAAUACCUGUGGGAUUGAACCUUUCUGCAGCUAAUUGGAACUAUGACACCUUGAACCUGUGCAUGUAUACCAUUUCAUUAAUAUGUCAAUCAUCAGAGGGAAAAACUACACAUUGCUUUUCUCCAUCCCUCUCCCACAAGGAUUUUGCUCUUCCCUCUGACAAGAUUCAUUAGCCUGUGUGUGUUCAGCACUCUGAAGACAAAAAAAAAAUGUUUCUUUAAGAAUAAACGGGGUCUCUGAAAACAACUUAUUCAGGAGAAGCAUGAAUGGAAAAUACGGGUUUGUUCAGUCCAGAUCAACUACAUGAGAACACAGACAGCUGGACUCCAUUUCUUAUCUGAGUUUAAGCACCCCACCAAGGUACUUUGCUCUGGGUUCCCGUGCAGUCUAUGGGGAGCAACCAUCCCUUUUAAGGAACAGCUCACAGCUGAGCUCUGAACUGCCUCUUGUCAGCCACUGGAGGAAGAGGUAAUGAGGCAAACUGUGUGACUAUGCUCCUAACGCAGGUCGCACUGCAGAAUGAAUCUGGUCUCUUCCUGCAUCUGAAUUCUCCCUGACUCCUCCAGUUUGCUGGUUUGUUAGGUUAAACCAUGCCUUGUUCUGACCCUACUGACUUAGCAAGUUAGAACAGCUUUGCUAUAUUAUAUAAGAGGUGAUCCUGGCAGAUCCUGUUUGAGGUGUACACAAGCACAUCCCUAUUGGUGACUGUGUGUGGCUGACACACAUUCAUCGUCAGGUAGGUGAGCAUGUUUUUGUUUUCUGCUGAACUUCGACAGUAGUUCUGUCUGUUCUGUUAGUUAACUCUCUGUUAAAAGGCAAAGUUGAUGCAGCUGUGGGACAAUAAGUGAAAUGGCUGCAUCUAGCUCCAAUUGUGAUCAGUAGAACUGUUUGCUGUGUUUCUUCCUGUCAAAUCAGGCUGAUGAUGGCAGAAACAGAAAGAUUCCCUAAGUAGGGUUUCUAGUUAAUCAACUCUGGAUUUGUAAACCAAAUCAUUCACUGUGGACAAAACAAUACAAUGUAAUUCCUGCACAAUCAUUGCUUGGUAUAACCGCACUUAGAGAUUUUCUGCGUUUAAUGGAAGCUGCGCGGCCCAAUCUGCUAAUUAACUUAGAAAGUUUCAGCCACUUAACUGCUUUCACUGUAUUUUCUUCCAGUGGGUUUAAAAGUCCUGCAAAGGAUAUGACUAAACUUUCUUUUCUGGGCUGUAUGGGCCUUUUUUAUUCUUUUUUUUUUUUUUACCAUAAAUCUCUGCUGAUGUUGUCUGUUCAUAUCACAGAAACAAAAUACCAGCAGUAUAUAACCCACUUCACAUAAUCUUGGGAAGAAGAUCACUGCCCCAUCAAAAGCAGAAUCUCUAAAAUAUUCUAUGGGGUAGAAUUAAACCUGUGUAUAAGAAAAACUGCUGGCAAGGGAAUGUGCUUACUUGUUACAGUGAUCAGUAGCAAUCUUCAGCUUCUCCCUUAAGGUGCUUUUUUCCUCCAUGGUCAGAUCAAACCAUGCCCAGAAACACUUCCUCUUAAGACAGACUGCAUGGAGAGUAUUUGCUUUCUCCUCCAGAGUGGAGAGGUAAUCUCUGUACUAAGGAAGGAAGACAGAAGGAGGUAAGAAUGGCAGCUUCUUCCCAGAUCACCAUCCCAAUAAACGCAUACAGAGCAGCACUGAGACAGUGGCUGUGAAGGAUAACAGGAACAGGAGUUGGAUGAAAAUCAGCGGGAAACAGGGAUAGAGUGUGUAAAAUGGAUGUGGGGAGUGUAGAGUGUCCUAAACUGAAGAGAAUGAUGUGGAGAGCUGAAAGAAGGUCUCUGAGAAAGGGAAUGGUGAUGCAGGAAAGAGGACAGCAUAACCCAGCAAAGGCUAGGCUGCAGGUGUGUAAAUAAGUGUUGUGAUGAUGGGAAAGUAUGGCACUAGCAGGCUCCCUUGGUGUUGUUUCUCCGUUGUGGAGUAGGCAAACCUUUAGCCACCUCCUGAAGCACCAUCUGAUCAAUGUGUGGGAGAAGAAAUCCUCAGCCCAAGACACUUUCUCCAUGAGUCUCUCCUGGGUGUGCUGAAACCAACUCAUCAGGCAUUUCCUCUGCAGACUCAAGCAGUGGUGUGUUUGGGCCACCUGAACAAAGGCGACAGAAAAGGCAGCUGGUUACUUGGACCAGCCUGUGUCCUGAAAACCAGAUACAGUAGUAUAUUGCCCAGCUCUUGGAGACCCCUAAAAUGCCGUUGCCUGACAACUGGAACAACUUGCACGGCAAGUUCCCAAAAGCAGGGAAUGCUGAGUCUUUCCUAGAUAAAAUCCUUUUGAAUUUGAUACACAGUUUGACCUGCUGUGGAGCAGAGGCAUGGCCUUAGCAGUUUAGUCUAACUCAAUCCUUAAGGCUGAACAGCAGGACGGACUUUCAGAGCAUCUGCUAUCCUUCUGCUUCUUCCCAGCUGGACACCUAUGUGAAUUGGGUUGAAUACUGUAAGUAGCUCCUGUGACUUAAAAUGGAAGUUUGCCAGUUUAGCCCUGGGCUUUGGCUAAAUCUUCAGGAUACAGUUGAGUGUUGUUAGCCUACCACUGUUAAGGCAUGCCAACUCAGUCACAUACAGAAAUAUUUUGUUAUCAAGAUAUAUGUGUCAGGGUCUCAGAAACUACUAGUUAUUCUGCACUGAAGGUGUGGUAAGGCUAGAACAGGUGACUUUUGGUCACUUGGAUUAUCAUUUGUGUUUUACCUCUAGCAGUGCCCCACACUGGGCCAGCACUGCCUCCAGAGAGAAUGAAACUCCUAGUGAUGGGCUGACAUUUAACUAAAUACAACAGCUUAGCAGUAUCUUAUUAACUAGCUUUGCUGUGAUCUAGGUGCAAAAGAACUGACAGGUUCAAAUCAUACAACUUCAAUUUAUUUUUUGGGGGCUUUAUUAUUUUUUUGGGCUAAACUAACUUUACUGUGUUACUGGCAUUGAGUCAAGUGGCAGUUAAUAUUGCAGGCAAGUAUAAGCUAACAAAAGAGGACUUCUCAUUAGAUUGAGAUUCAUUCUUUUCUCUGUCCUCUCGGCUCCCGUUUAACCAGCUAUAAAUGAGAAUAUAAAAAACCCACAAGUGUGAUGACCUUCCAUGAUUAUUGUCGUAUGAGUUCAUUUAAAACCCCAAUGUAGGGCAUGGUGUGCAAGAAUUUUUUCUUUGCCCUAAAAGCCCGUUAAGGUUUCUGCUACUCCAUUCUUUUUCCCUUCCUCCCAUGGCACCAGACCUUUCCUUUAUCCACAGCGCUUACCAUCAGGUUUUCCUUGGCCUGCUCUCUUAGCUUCUUCCAUGGCACCAUUCCCAGUUUUCUCAGUAGGGCCUUCUCAUAGUGAUCUCUGGCCUUUUUCUGGAGCUGCUGCUCUUUCUCCAGCCUUCUCUGCUUCUCCAGCUCUUUCUACAGUGUGAAGAGUAGUAGUUUUAAUUCAGUCUAGAUGAAAUGAACAUUAAGGUUGUUGUAUUGGAACUGGAGUUCCUGACAGGAAGUAAGGGUCUGCAUUAUCUUUAGCAGUGCAAACUAGACAUGAACCAGUAGAAGAAAGCAAGCUGUCUUGAAAAUCUGCAUGGAAGAUGAUGAUGAUAUCUAGACAUUUCUUUGGGCCCUAUCUGAACACAGGGCGUUCCCUCAGUGCUGCAGUCCGGUGUUACAGUAACACUCCAUAUAAUCCCUGGCUGCCAGCAGUGCUCAUGUAACAACCUCCUCCUCCUGCCUGGCCCUCAUCAAUGUGAAGAGGAGUGCUUUGGUGAGCUCAAAGGGUAGUUUUCUGUGUUUAUGAAAUUCUGUACAAAAAUGAUUGUCUUAUCCAAGGAACCCAUCACUUAAUCUAGCUUAAACACAGAAGAAUAGGGAAGGUAUGUGGGUAUUACAUAACUGUACAGUAUUACUUCUGGUUGAGACACAGAGUUAAAGGUCAAACAUUCUAAAAUGGUCCAAGUAGAACAGCAUUUAUAGAUCGGAUUCCUGUGGGAUUUCAAGUGUGGUGCUGUUUGGGUUACUAGGGCAGCUCAUUUGUAAGUAACAAGACUCAUGUGGGGCUAUUCCUAGGCUGCUGGAUAUUGCUAGCUCCAAGGAGGGAAUGCUUCUCAUUCUUUGGAUGGAAGGUUGCCUUUGAUACAUCUGUCAUGCUUGUUUACUUCUAAAUUGUGUGUUUGUGACUGGUAUUAUUGUGUUGCUGGAGGAGCCUACAAUUGGAAGGAGCAGCCUGAGAAUAGCCCAAACACACCCCUCUUUGGGGGUUACGUGGCCAUAGGUCAGCACUGGAUGUUCACCACAUGGGAUCUCUAGUCUGGCUGCUGAGAUAGGGAAGGUAUAUACCUCAUGCAUUUGGCCAACAGCCCUUCUAAAAUUGCUAGAAAGGGAGACAGUGGUGAGUUGAUACAUUUGGUGCUGUGAAAUGCUUCUCUACUAACAGAGAUCUUUAGUUUACACCACUGGCCGCUGACUGAGUGCAAGUGAGUAAUGGCUCUUCCCUAUCCUUGCUGAAGUUGGGGAGACAGAUGACAUGUUUGAUCACCAGCUUCUGCUGCCUCUUCUCCUCUCGUCUCUUUUCUUGCUGAGCUUCCCUUUCCUCAGCCUCCUUCCUCUGAUGUGCUUCCUCUUCAGCCUUCAGCUGGGCCUUGGAACGCAUAAAAUAGAUAUAACUUAGUUCAGUGUACGUGACCUUUUUGGAGAACACAGGCCUCUAAACUUCCCCUGGACAGUUAGUGUUCUUCUGGUACUGACUAGUAUCUGAAACUCCAGAAAGAAGCAGACUUUGUCACAUACUAGACGUGAUGCAUGUUGGACAAAGAACUGUGUGGAAGAGAAGAGGAAGGAGGGACUGUUCUUUCUACCACCUGUACGUGGCCAUCUUUCUUUGCCAUAGGUUAAUAUUCACCUGUGACCCUUGUCAGUCUCAACCUGCUUUCAUUCCAUAAAUCUCUUGAUUUUUGGCAUAUGCAUCAAAGGUCUAAAACCCACAUCACCGUGCAUGAUUGCAAUGACUGUGAUUCCUCUAAUCUCUGAAGAAACCUAACCUAAAGCUUGUCUGCCCACCCUAUUGUUAAAGAGUUGUCUAAGGCUUGCUUAAGUUUCCAGGUGUGGAUGUGCAUCCUUCUUCCUUGGCAAAGAAAGAAACACUGGUUGUUUUAGGACCCUGGUUCUUAGCUUUCUAUUCCUAAUGCAAAUUAGUAUUAAUGCUCUCAGUAACAGAUUUAAUUAAUGCCUUGAAGCUAAGAAGGCUCCUCUGUUAGAUGUGUAUCAUGGAAUUUCUAUAUUAACUAUGCAAACUUAUCAGUAUCUUCUCUUUUCAGCAGAGAUUUGCUAGAAACCAAGGUGCAGGAUUUUUACUAGGUUAGUCUGCAUGUCUUCAAGCUGCACGUGACUUCCAGUCUUCCCAUCCUUGGCAAGGACAGUUAAGGUCAUAAGUAAGUGUGAAAAAGUACUGGAGGGUGAUGAGGGAGACUGCUUCUAGAAUUGCAGCUGCAUCAACACAGUGAUAUGUGAUAUGGAAAGGCUAGUUGGUUCCCUGAACACAAGUGUAGCAGGAAGUCUUGGUGUUUUUUUUUAGUGUAUUCUGGACAUCUGCUUUCUGACAAGCUGUACAACUCCAUUUAGAUACUAAAGGGCUUUUUCUUGGUCCCUAGACUUUUGAGGUUAGAACAGCAUUUCUUGUCACUGGAAUAGUGUGAAAGUUUUUCAUUUUUCCCACUGUCCAUACCAGUUUUUCCUCUUCUCUUCGUUGUUUAGCCUCUUCUAGUUUCCUCCUCCGUUCUGCCCGCUGAAUUGCUCUCUCCUCCAUAGCUACGGAAACAGAAACAAGAGGACAUAACACAAAUGAGCUAUAGGGUAAUGGUACAAGUUUGGUGAACAUGGAGGAUGACCCCUCUCCUGCCAGGUCUCCUCUUGACCUGGCAAUGCCAGCACUAAGGAACUUGUUUUCAGCUGCUUUAAAGCUGUCAGUGUCAUGAAAAAGGAACCCACAAAUCUGUGUAAGACUCAGGACUGCCCCACUUAGUGUCACUCCACCUUCCUUGGUUGACAGUCACAGCUAUGAGGUUGCAUUAUGAAAGGAGCUGUGUCCAGAAGUUUCAUCCCAGAAUUUCCUGAUUGGUUGCCAAAGAUCAAGGAACCUAUUUAGCAGCAGUCACAACAAGGUCUCCAGGAAACUCCAAUUGCUUACUUAAAGAGUGACUGCAUUAUAGAAAGUGUCUCUGCCAUGGUGACACACAGGUACUCAGUCCCAUUAGUGUGAAAACUACUGCUUAAUUCUUCUGGAAGGUAAGCUGCAGUGCAGCAGUGUUGCAGCUAUCAGUGGUUAGUCUAACAUGACAUCACAGCACAUGCAGUGGAGCUUAGAACCUGUGCUCACUCCCCUUGCAGUCGCAAACAAAGCAUAGGCUGGAGCAGUCCAAAAUUGUUUGGACAACAACAGGUUGCCUCAAGUUCUUUUCUCCUAUCAGCUGUGCCAGGUUUCUCUUCCAAGGGAGAAUAUCUAGUGACAGCUUUGCCCCUAACUACUUAAGGAUCUCUAAAGAAAAGCACUUGAGUGCUUUGGAAAUACCCUUACUGUCUUCAAGCUGUACAGAUCUCAAAGAAAUGAGAGUGAUGGCUUGCAAUAAGAAGCAUGGGAACUGAACACAGUCAGUUGUAAUGAAAGGUAUCUAUUAAUGCCUAGCCAUCAUAGCCAAAAUUACUCUGGAGAUUCUCAAGACUGUUGAAACAUCACAUACUAGACAGUCUUUCCUGCAGACUGUGACCACCCCUAGGUUAAUAUGGAAAAACAUAAGUUAAGGACAUAGCAGAACCUGAUCUUAAUAUACUGUAUGAAAGGCUGUGUUGCAUGUUUAGCAUGUGCAUGCUGUUCCAGUAUGGCCAGAGAUGGGCAGAUAACUCACAGAAGACAAGCAUCUGGUGCUUCUUCUCCAGCCUACCAUUGUCUCUGAAAAUCUUAGGUAAGUACUUAAUUUCCCUGGAAAUUCUUAAUACUUUUGUCAAAGCUGAGUUAAAAUAAGCAGUUAGCUUAAGUGUUACUUGAAUGUGCGGUGAAGGGAAUGAUAGCAAAAUAACUUGUAGAGCUUUUUUCAAGUGAUUGUUUCUAGUCUGACAAGACUCAGGUGUUAGGUAACAACUGCUACAACAUACUGAGCAAGGGCUUGCAGUAGCCUACAUUCUACAGAUGCCUGACUUAGCCAUGAAAACAACUUAAUCUCUCCCAGAGCUGGCCAGGCUAGAAAACAGUGUUGAGUUUUACUUGCAUACUGUUCUCAACCAGCAAGGUUGAGGUUAAUAAACACAAGUUUACAUGAGUUUUUGAAAAAAGUAGCCUAGAACGGUCUUUGCUGUCUAGAAAAAUACCUUUCACUAUGGGAUGAGUUGAGGUUGGCUGGCUGGAGGGCCUCUUGCCUUGCGUUGCUGCCUUUGUGUUCUUUGGCUCAGGAGAAACAGGUAGACUAUGAAAAGGAAGAGUAAAGAAAUUAAUGAAUAUGGUCAAAUGUUGUCUCAAGCCUACCACCUAUGACUGAGAAACAGGCCUUAUAGUUUCUAUUCUCCAUUGUGCUGAAUUUUCAUUGUAGGUCCCUGAUAUACCUUUCUUCUGCCCAAAAUGUGAUUAAGAAUGCAUUCUUACAAAAGAGAUGAGUACCCAGAGCUGUUACAUAUUCUGAAAUACUCGGUAUGACAAUCUCUCUCCUAACUAAAUAAAUCCAUGCUGCUACUAUGUGUAACACUAGUGUUGCUGUUUCUAAGUAGACCUUGUAUAGAUCGUGUGCUGUCAAGCAAAUGCAAAAACAGAGGAUGGAGAACUGUGGCUAGACUGAUACUGCUUGAAGCUGUCACUGCUAAGAGGAACAGCAGAUAGCAUUAAUAUGAUGGAAAUAUCCCAGUCAAUUUGUGUUUCUACUUGAGUAGGAAUGAGACAUGAUGACUAAUUGAGCCUGCUUUAUCUAGGACCUGUACCUCAAAGGGGUUGUAUUCUGGUAUCUGGAUUGUUUUCUGCUCUUCAGUUUUUUCUCCCUGGUUUCUGAAGCAGAGUCAGGUGCCUGGCUUGCAGCUGUGGCUUGCACUGCCUCUUCUUUUGCUCUGCUCAGCCUCUGAUUUUCUUGCAGUUCAAGGAUCAGCUCUUGCUGUUUCUGAAGCUGCUGCUUCUGCUCCUCAAUCAGGUGUUGCUGGAAGGUGUGAUGGUGCUCAAAACAGCUACUGUAAGGAGGAGCUGUCUUUGGGCUGGGUGCUUGAAACUGCUUGGGAAGACCAGCUAUUUCAUUCCUGUACAUAACCUGGUCCUGGGCACUCAGGGCUGCAUGUUUUAGGGUGAUCUGCCACGCAAACUUGGGUUUUCUAUAAGAAGGAGAUGUGUGAGCAGCAUCCCCACAAGAGUGGUCUCUGCUCUGGUCAGGUUCUUCCUGAAUCAGGCAUGUUUUGGUCAGCUGGGGAAGGGGGUGAGGAAAAAAAAACAAGAAGAUUUGGCAUUAAUUAAAAGCAAGCUUUCUUCUGCCUGUUAUACACACUAUUACUUUAAUGAAAAUCUAGCAAGAUUCCUGAGAAGUAGAACAAUCUCAUAUUUACAGUCUUUAUCUUGUUCCUAGCCAGGGCAGAGGGGCCUGGUUAUGCACAAAAUGGGAGGAUGUUGGGGAAAAACUAUUUUAAGAAGCUGUGUGCCAUUUCUCUGCAAGGAGGAAACCCCGAUCAGGCAAGAGUUCUGGCAGGAACAUAUCUCUGUUUUGUUAGGGAGCACAGCGUGGGACAACUGAUUUCUCAGGGGUUAGCCCAUCUCUCAAUUAGCACACUCCCUUUUGGACUCUGCUGUCCCUUUUCAGUGCUCAGACUGAGGCAAAACAGUUGUUGAAAAUGAAAUACAAGUGAUCUACAAGGCUCAUCUACUUGACAGCUCCCUUUCAGAUGGGAGAAUAGUCUACAAAGGGCAACUACAUCUUGCCUCCUCUCCAGAUUUGAUCAGGUAUUACUGUGAAACCGGUGCAUGGUGGGGAAUCAGGCUUGCCUCCUCUGGCACAAGUUUUAUUCAGAAGAGGCAUGAGAUAUCUGAUUUGCUUACUGAUUUCUAGGUCAAACUCCAAAUUUGGUCCCAUCCUUCCAGCACAACCUUUAUGCAAGCAUCUAAAGGAAAGUACUGACCUACUGUGAUAAUAUAAACACAAUAGAAAAUCAAAUUUCACUGACACUCGAGCAAAUGAAAAGCUUGACUUGUAAAAUGUGUGAAUGUGUCAGGUUUCAUACUGGGUCCUGCUCUAUAGGUUUUACAGACAGAAAGGCAGGCUCUGACCCAACAAAAGAGAAAUUUAAGGAAGCAACCUCCAAUUCUCCCCUCUCCUUGUGGUGUGCAUUACCCUUAGAUAGCCACCGACACCUUUUUUUUCCCCACACUUCUGAAAAACCGGAGCGCUGUACUGACAUGACAAAAAUCUCUUGUCAUGCAGUCAAGUGUUAUUCUUUUUCAGUCUACGCAGGCAUUAAAGAUGUAACUAAUCUCUCAGCAAAAGCGAUCUGGGGGUGGGACUGCGACUCACAGUACAUGAAAGGUUGUUCUCUGGCAGCAUAAGAAAUUAGUUAUUUUUAAAACUCAUCCACUGUCCUUCACAGUUGCUUCUGUUCUUUAACAGCUUCCUUCCUGAACGGCUGUAGGUAGGUACUGGGAGGUAACCCUGGACAAGAAGCCUUCCUCUGGAACAGUGUGCUUUCUAUUUCAGACUGCAUAGAAGUACUUUGUGAAUGUAGUGGAAUGUCAGUAGACAAAAUUAUACACGAGACUUUACCUCGUCUUGCUGCAAAACUUGAUGCUGGUUUACUUUUGCUGUCUCAGACUUGCUGACUUCCAGCGUUCUGUUCAAGCCACUCUUCCCCAUUUCCCCAGACACUGCCGCCAGCAGCUUUGCCAUCUUCCUCUUUGUCUCCUCUCUCUUGAGUUGCAGCUCUCGCUUGUCUGCCUCUGCUUGGCUCCAGUGCUGCCAUGCCAGAAAGCAGCAGCGCAAAAGCCGCCGCUGGUUAUGCUCUGCCGACAGUUGGUUCUUCCUGUUUUGAUCUUGCAGAUGAAAUUCUAAUUGCUGCGUCUCCUGCUCUACUUUCUGGGCCCAUGUGUAGUUUCUCCAUGCUCGCAGGACCUUCUGUUGGCAUUUCCAAUCUGCAAGAGCUCUG